CCCCGGGCCGGGAGCGGGACCCGGGCUCGGCCUCGCACCGCAGGCACGGCGCGUCCGGCCCCGCGGAGCCGGGGAAACAGAGCGGAACCCGGCCCCACCCGGACGGUGUGAGGGGAGGGACUGAUAGCCUGCGGCUCGGGAGCGCAGGUGGCUCAGGGAGGCGCUCGGAGGUGCCUUAGACAGGUGUGCCGCGCCUUUGAAGCCUGGGAAUAAAGUGAGACAGACCGGGCAAGGAAAUCGUUUCUUAAUAACUCCUUCCUGAGCUGAAAUGCUUACAGUAUACCAGCAUCUUCAGGAAAAACACAAACACAGGGCAAAGGAAAAAGCUCUUUGGAAAAACAGAGGAUCCUGCUCCUGUACUCUGGACUUCACCUUCUCAUUCUGCUGGUUUUUUCUUUGUCAAUCCCUCCCAAGGAGAUUUCUUCCAAUCUAAGACAUUUCCAAUUGACAUAGAUCCUAGUUUUGCUAUCUCUUUCAUCCAGUUUUAUGGGAAAAGCUUCUGAAAGGAAAAAUAACCAAAUAAAAUAAGCAUUUAUAUCUUUUUCUCAUCCUCACAGAAGAUGUCACGGCAGAUCAGUGUAAGACUUCCGAAAUUCUUUAGCUAUCCUGUGUCCUAUAAAAGUAAUUAUUAAUUCCUUAAGGAGGAUAAAAAUUCAAAACAUAAGGAAGAAAAUUGAGGGGUUGAUUUUUAAACCCCACAGUUGAUUCUUUCAGGUGAGGUACAGAAUUUUUAAAAAUACUCUAGAGAUUUAAAUUUGCCCAGACAAGCUAUAAUUCUGUAUCCUUUUGACUGGGAAGGUGUCACAGGCAAAGAAUUGCAUUCCACAAAUCAAAGGUGUUGGUUUGGGCUGCCAUCCCUUAAUAGCCCAAUUAUUUCCAGCUUCCACCUAAGGUUGUCAAGACUUUGUCUUUUGCCACUACUUCUGUUGCUGUGUUACCCAAACGGGUCUAGCACUGACUUGCACAACCUCCUUGCCUACAGAAUGGAAAAUUGAUCAACCACAUAUUUCAGUCUGACCUUGUAAACAGCUGUAACUGAAGAAAAUCUCUUGGAAAGUGACAAGUAAAGUGGAAUUUCAAGCGUCCCACAGAGGUAUCUGCAGGUCCUCCACUGCGUCUUUAUGGAGUUAAUACAGAGAAAUUAUGCUUUAUUUUGUUUCAAAGAGGACAGAUGCUAAAAAGUGCCAUCAGCAUCUGCUAACUAUAAACUAAUUAUUCCAUGGCAGUGUCAGAUUACCCCUUCCAAAUACACUGAACCUGUUGUAUUUGUGAUAACCAACAGAAUUGCUUGCACUUUUGUAAUAGCACAGGAGCAUGUAAUUAGUCUGGCUUCACAGAAGGCUAUUUUGUACUACAGCAGAAUUUCCUAUGUCAGUAACACUCAGGAACGAAGAAGUGAAGACUGACAUGCCAACAGGUGUGCUCACACACUCUACUUGCAGUCAGAAAAAUCCAACUUGUCCAGAAUGAAUUUAGUGCUUUGCUUCAGUGCUUUCGGAAAUGGUGAUUAAGACUUCAUGUUAUAAUCUGGAGCAAGGUGAUUAAUGGCCCCUCAAAAAUCCACACAAGGUCUCAGCUGUAACUUACUGUUUUCACUACUGUUGGAGACAAUAAAGGAAGAAAGAGUGUGAAACAAAGUGAUAAGGAUUUGUGGCUUUGGGGUGUAAAAGCUUUGGUUUAUAAGCCUAAGUAGCUUAAUGUUGGGCAUGCAGACAUCUCAAUCACACCGAGGGUGGCUGUCACAAAACAGCUUGUCAGGUUUCAUCUGGAGAGGUUUACAAUGCAUCCUUUAAUGGAGUGUGAUUAUUGCUGUCACAAACACCAGAUGAGAAGUCAGAAAAUAAACAUAGUCCAGCAUCUGAUGCAAAGUCUGUGGUUUUAAUUGCCAUUGUUUAAUUACCUUAGUUAAAGAAAUGGAAGUGUUGGUUGUUCCAAAAAGGUUUUUAGACAUACAGAAAAAUCCUCACAUAAAUACUACUUUUAUCAUUUAAUGUUUUCAACCUGUUUAAAAUAAUAAAAUUGUACAUGAUUGUCA